rnacentral:rRNA from 1 species
AACGAACGCUGGCGGCAGGCUUAACACAUGCAAGUCGAACGCCCCGCAAGGGGCGUGGCAGACGGGUGAGUAACGCGUGGGAACAUACCCUUUUCUACGGAAUAGCUCUGGGAAACUGGAAUUAAUACCGUAUACGCCCUACGGGGGAAAGAUUUAUCGGGGAACGAUUGGCCCGCGUUGGAUUAGCUAGUUGGUGGGGUAAAGGCCUACCAAGGCGACGAUCCAUAGCUGGUCUGAGAGGAUGAUCAGCCACAUUGGGACUGAGACACGGCCCAAACUCCUACGGGAGGCAGCAGUGGGGAAUAUUGGACAAUGGGCGCAAGCCUGAUCCAGCCAUGCCGCGUGAGUGAUGAAGGCCUUAGGGUUGUAAAGCUCUUUCACCGAUGAAGAUAAUGACGGUAGUCGGAGAAGAAGCCCCGGCUAACUUCGUG